rnacentral:lncRNA from 1 species
GUAAGCUGGAUUCCUUUUCAUUGGCUUCUUCCAUUCACCACAACCAGGGGAUGUCUCACACUUUGGGUUGUCAAUCUUUGGUGCUUCCCAUUCACCAUCCUCCUCGUCAUCCCAAUCUUCCGGUUUUGUUGCCUCAGGAUCAUCAAUUUCCUCAGGUUCAUCAUCCAACCAUCCUUCAGGUUUCUCAGCUUCCUCAUCUACAAUUUCCAUUGGAGCAUCCUCAUCCCAGUCAUCUGGCUUCACAGCAUUAGGGUCAGGAAUUUUAGCUCUCUCAUCCCAGUCCUCCGGCUUCUUAUCUUCUGGAUCAGGAAUCGUCUUUGCAGGAAUUAGAG